AAUGAACGUUGGCGGCGUGGAUUAGGCAUGCAAGUCGAGCGAGAACCCAGCAAUGGGGGACAGCGGCGAAAGGGACAGUAAUGUGUAGAUCAUCUGCCCUCAGGCCCGGGAUAGCUGCGGGAAACUGCAGGUAAUACCGGAUAAUAUCUCCGGAUCAAAGGUGUGAUUCCGCCUGGGGAUGAGUCUACAUCCUAUUAGCUAGUUGGUAGGGUAAUGGCCUACCAAGGCAUUGAUGGGUAGCGGGUGUGAGAGCACGACCCGCGUCAUUGGGACUGAGACACUGCCCAGACACCUACGGGAGGCAG
rnacentral:rRNA from 1 species